rnacentral:lncRNA from 1 species
UAGUAAAUUUCUGCUAAUUAUUAAAUCUAGCGGUAAUUAUCAAGUAAUGUUGUUAAAUAUAUUAAUUAGCAUAAUUUAAAUAAAUGCUGCGGAGUAAAUGCCACGGCAUUCAACAAUAAGCACCGCUAGUUUGUUACAUUUAGUAUCAUUUUUUAUAAAUGCUAAAAACUUCAAUGGCAUUCACUAAUUUACGCUGCUAAUUUAUUCUAUUUUGCAACAUUAAUAGUAAAUUACUGCUAAAUUAUUAAAUCUAACAAUAAUUAUCAAGUAACGUUGUUAAAUAUAAAAAUUACUAUGAUUUAAAUAAAUUAUGCAGAGUAAAUGCUGCUAGAUUAUGAAUUUGUUGUUGUGAAUAGAUUAGUUUGUCUUGAUAAAUGUUUAAUUG